ACGUACGCUGGCGGCACGCCUAACACAUGCAAGUCGAACGAAGUAGCAAUACUUAGUGGCAGACGGGUGAGUAACAUGUGGGUAUCUGCCCUUUGGCCUGGAAUAACACGAGGAAACUUGUGCUAAUACCGGAUAAGUCUUUACGGAGAAAGCUUUAUGCACCAUUGGAUGAGCCUGCACUUGAUUAGUUUGUUGGUGGGGUAAUGGCCUACCAAGACUGUGAUCAAUAGCUGAUUUGAGAGGAUGAUCAGCCACAUUGGGACUGAGACACGGCCCAAACUCCUACGGGAGGCAGCAGUGGGGAAUCUUGCACAAUGGAGGAAACUCUGAUGCAGCGAUGCCGCGUGAGUGAAGAAGGCCCUUGGGUUGUAAAGCUCUUUCGUCGGGGAAGAAAAUGACUGUACCCGAAUAAGAAGGUCCGGCUAACUUCGUGCCAGCAGCCGCGGUAAUACGAAGGGACCUAGCGUAGUUCGGAAUUACUGGGCUUAAAGAGUUCGUAGGUGGUUGAAAAAGUUAGUGGUGAAAUCCCAGAGCUUAACUCUGGAACUGCCAUUAAAACUUUUCAGCUAGAGUAUGAUAGAGGAAAGCAGAAUUUCUAGUGUAGAGGUGAAAUUCGUAGAUAUUAGAAAGAAUACCAAUUGCGAAAGGCAGCUUUCUGGAUCAUUACUGACACUGAGGAACGAAAGCAUGGGUAGCGAAGAGGAUUAGAUACCCUCGUAGUCCAUGCCGUAAACGAUGUGUGUUAGACGUUGGAAAUUUAUUUUCAGUGUCGCAGCGAAAGCGAUAAACACACCGCCUGGGGAGUACGACCGCAAGGUUAAAACUCAAAUGAAUUGACGGGGACCCGCACAAGUAGUGGAGCAUGUGGUUUAAUUCGAAGAUACGCGCAGAACCUUACCAACACUUGACAUGUUCGUCGCGACUCUAAGAGAUUAGAGUUUUCGGUUCGGCCGGACGAAACACAGGUGCUGCAUGGCUGUCGUCAGCUCGUGUCGUGAGAUGUUGGGUUAAGUCCCGCAACGAGCGCAACCCUCACUUUUAGUUGCCAUCAUUAAGUUGGGCACUCUGAAAGAACUGCCAGUGAUAAGCUGGAGGAAGGUGGGGAUGACGUCAAGUCCUCAUGGCCCUUACGUGUUGGGCUACACACGUGCUACAAUGGUAUCUACAACAGGAAGCAAGACUGCGAAGUUAAGCAAAUCCCUAAAAGAUACCUCAGUUCGGAUUGCACUCUGCAACUCGAGUGCAUGAAGCUGGAAUUACUAGUAAUCGUGGAUCAGCGUGCCACGGUGAAUGCGUUCCCGGGUCUUGUACACACCGCC
rnacentral:rRNA from 1 species